GAUGAACGCUGGCGGCGUGCUUAACACAUGCAAGUCGAACGGAAAGGCCCAAGCUUGCUUGGGUACUCGAGUGGCGAACGGGUGAGUAACACGUGGGUGAUCUGCCCUGCACUUCGGGAUAAGCCUGGGAAACUGGGUCUAAUACCGGAUAGGACGAUGGUUUGGAUGCCAUUGUGGAAAGUUUUUUCGGUGUGGGAUGAGCUCGCGGCCUAUCAGCUUGUUGGUGGGGUAAUGGCCUACCAAGGCGUCGACGGGUAGCCGGCCUGAGAGGGUGUACGGCCACAUUGGGACUGAGAUACGGCCCAGACUCCUACGGGAGGCAGCAGUGGGGAAUAUUGCACAAUGGGCGCAGGCCUGAUGCAGCGACGCCGCGUGGGGGAUGACGGCCUUCGGGUUGUAAACUCCUUUCGCUAGGGACGAAGCGUUUUUGUGACGGGACCUGGAGAAGAAGCACCGGCUAACUACGU
rnacentral:rRNA from 1 species